AGCGUUUAAAAGCUAUCGGAUGACCUGUGGAUAGGGGUGAAAAGCCAAACGAACACGGAGAUAGCUGGUUCUCCUCGAAAUAGCUUUAGGGCUAGCCUCUAGUGGAAAUGUGAAAAGGGGGUAGAGCACUGAAUGGUCGCGGGGCAUGCAUAUGUUACCAAGACCUAUCAAACUCCGAAUACCAUAUCACACACUAGGGAGUCAGACUAUGUGGGAUGAGCUUCAUAGUCGAAAGGGAAAGAGCCCAGACCAUCAGCUAAGGUCCCAAAAUUAUAGUUAAGUGGGAAAGGAUGUGGAGUUACUGAGACAACUAGGAUGUUGGCUUAGAAGCAGCCACUCAUUCAAAGAGUGCGUAAUAGCUCACUAGUCAAGUGACUCUGCGCCGAAGAUAACCGGGGCUAAACUAUAUACCGAAGCUAUGGAACGUAUAACGUUGGUAGAGGAGCAAUGUAUGAAGGACGAAGCAGAAGUCGUAAGGCACUGUGGACAUCAUACAAGAGAGAAUGCUGGCAUGAGUAGCGAGAGGUGAGUGAGAAUCUCACCCGUCGAAAACCCAAGGAUUCCUGAGCAAGGCUCGUCCACUCAGGGUAAGUCGGGACCUAAGGCGAGGCUGAAAAGCGUAGUCGAUGGACAACAGGUGGAAAUUCCUGUACCGAUACAAUCGUUAAAAAGGAAGUGGGGACGCAGGAGGAAAGUAAGAGCGCCCAGUUGGUGAGGCGUGCAAGCGCAAAGUCUGGAAAGUAGGCAAAUCCGCUUUCCGUUAAGGAUGAAGCGUGAUGCGGAUCGAAAACAAGUAGAGAAGCUUACAGACCCACACUGCCAAGAAAAGCCACUACAAGAGAAGUAUCGCCCGUACCGUAAACCGACACAGGUAGGUGAGGAGAGAAUCCUAAGACGAGCGGAAAAACCUUUGUUAAGGAACUCGGCAAAAUGACCCCGUAACUUCGGGAGAAGGGGAGCCCCUGUAACAGGGGGCCGCAGUGAAAAGGCCCAAGCGACUGUUUACCAAAAACACAAGUUUCUGCAAAGUCGAAAGACGAAGUAUAGGAGCUGACACCUGCCCGGUGCUGGAAGGUUAAGGGAAAAAGUUAGCGCAAGCGAAGCUUAGAACUGAAGCCCCAGUAAACGGCGGCCGUAACUAUAACGGUCCUAAGGUAGCGAAAUUCCUUGUCGGGUAAGUUCCGACCCGCACGAAAGGUGUAACGAUUUGGGCACUGUCUCAACAAAGGAUCCGGUGAAAUUGUAGUAGCGGUAAAGAUGCCGCUUACCCACGACAGGACGGAAAGACCCCGUGGAGCUUUACUGUAGGCUGAGAUUGAAUUUUGGGAUUAAAUGUACAGAAUAGGUGGGAGGCAGAGAAAUAGGUACGCCAGUAUCUAAGGAGCCACCGUUGGGAUACCACUCUUUUAAUGCUAGAAUUCUAACCUACCCCCAUGAAUCUGGGGAAGGGACACUCUCAGUUGGACAGUUUGACUGGGGCGGUCGCCUCCGAAAGAGUAACGGAGGCGUUCAAAGGUUCCCUCAGCACGGAUGGAAAUCGUGCGAAGAGUAUAAAGGCAGAAGGGAGCUUAACUGCGAGACCAACAAGUCGAGCAGAUGCGAAAGCAGGACUUAGUGAUCCGGUGGUACCGAGUGGAAGGGCCAUCGCUCAACGGAUAAAAGCUACCCCGGGGAUAACAGGCUUAUCUCCCCCAAGAGUCCACAUCGACGGGGAGGUUUGGCACCUCGAUGUCGGCUCGUCUCAUCCUGGGGCUGAAGUAGGUCCCAAGGGUUGGGCUGUUCGCCCAUUAAAGAGGCACGCGAGCUGGGUUCAGAACGUCGUGAGACAGUUCGGUCCCUAUCCGUCGUGGGCGUAGGAAAUUUGAGAGGAGCUGUCCUUAGUACGAGAGGACCGGGAUGGACAAACCUCUGGUGCACCAGUUGUACUGCCAAGUGCAUAGCUGGGAAGCUAAGUUUGGAAGGGAUAAGAGCUGAAGGCAUCUAAGCCCGAAGCCCCCCUCGAGAUGAGAUUUCCCUCGCAAGAUAAGACCCCUUGA
rnacentral:rRNA from 1 species